GGCGCUGUGGCUUAGUUGGUUAGAGCGCCUGUCUAGUAAACAGGAGAUCCCUGGUUCGAAUCCGGGCGGUGCCU
rnacentral:tRNA from 1 species